rnacentral:rRNA from 1 species
UACAGAGGUCUCAAGCGUUGUUCGGAUUCAUUGGGCGUAAAGGGUGCGUAGGCGGUCUGUCGCGUCGGCUGUGAAAACUCGGGGCUCAACUCCGAGCUUGCAGUCGAUACGGGCAGGCUAGAGUUCGGCAGGGGAGACUGGAAUUCCUGGUGUAGCGGUGAAAUGCGCAGAUAUCAGGAGGAACACCGGUGGCGAAGGCGGGUCUCUGGGCCGAUACUGACGCUGAGGAGCGAAAGCGUGGGGAGCGAACAGG